rnacentral:rRNA from 1 species
UACGAAGGGGGCUAGCGUUGUUCGGAAUUACUGGGCGUAAAGCGCGCGUAGGCGGCGACCUUUGUCAGAGGUGAAAUCCCGAGGCUCAACUUCGGAAUUGCCUUUGAAACGGGGUUGCUUGAGUCCGAGAGAGGAUGGCGGAAUUCCUAGUGUAGAGGUGAAAUUCGUAGAUAUUAGGAAGAACACCGGUGGCGAAGGCGGCCAUCUGGCUCGGUACUGACGCUCAGGCGCGAAAGCGUGGGGAUCGAACAGG